CUCGUCUGAAAAUGGAACAUACUGCAUGACAUCACAGCCAUUCCUCCAUGUGUUUCUGUUGAAAACUUUGGAACUUUUAAAGGAGAAUUGUUGACGUCACUUUGAUGUUUUUGAUGCUAGCUGUACGUUGGUCUGUCCAGCACCUGUUGUUAUGUUUGGACUUGAUCCUUGAUGACAUGUAUCAACACUUCUCAUCUUCAGUGUCGCGUCUAAACACAGCACCCCCUGCUGUUCAGACUAUGUAGUGACGUUGGCAAUGAACGUGUGAAAAAAUCAGAUCCAAACUUUUUACUUGCAACGCUUUGCACAUGCGUAGCUCUUAGUAGUAAAAUUGUACAUUUGUCAUUUCUUCCGCAUGUGCCUCUCGUUAUGGCCUGACCUUGCCCUGUUAAAGUCCUGCCCUGGCUAUGCAUUUCACAAAGACAUUUGUAAACACACGCGUCAUGCUACAUAACAGUACAUUUGCUAAUAGCUCAAUAUUAAUGCUACUGUUACUAAAUAGCUUGUUUGCAGCGUAACUGAUGCUAGUGCUUUGCCGAAAGCAGCACCAGUGUUGGAAAAUUAGCCAACGUUACAUACAGUAGGUAGCCUGGUAUCCUGAGUGGAGGAUGUUGUGGCAGAAUGGAAUUCACCGUUACAUGAAGGACAAUGCAAGUGUGUGCGGUGUGUUAGUGAGGGUCCAGAUGUUAAUUUUUUAUUUUAUUUUUUUAUUUUACCAAAGCCAUGUUUUUUAAUGUCCACCAUUUGUUGUUUUUUAAUGUGCAUGUCAAAACAUGCUCAUGUAGAACAGUGUUUCUCUGAAUAUAUUUCCCUUUCCAAGUACGACCAACUAGAUUUACUAUAGAAAAAAGAAUUUAUUCCUAUUUUUAAGCUAAAGCUAAAGUAGUACUACAAUUGGUAUUUAAAUUAAAUUCUAAACUGUACCACUAAAAGGCGCCCAAUCAAAGGCUGCAUGGGUUCCGUGCUAACCUGAGGUGUGUGUUUGUCCUGAGGUUGGACUCUACUGUUUCCUGUGUCGCUGCAGCUGUUAUCUGUCGUACUAAUAUGCAAUAACUGUUGUGUGUUUGUAGUGUGCGUCCUCAGACUGUACUCCUCAUAUCUGGACACUGAUACACUUUGGUGUUUUUUUUUUUUUUUGUCACUGCAUGAAACUGGUGUCGACUUUAAAACAGACAAAUGUCAAACAUGGAACACUCCACUUUCCUCUGAACACACUGGUGGAUCUCAGACGUCACUUUGCUACGAAACCUGAAAAAACUGAAGAUAAUGUGUCAAAUUCACAGCGAGCAUGAAAAAAAAAUCUGCUGUGGAAUAUGUGAGGAUUUCGACUUCAUGUUAGAGUAAGGAAUGAGUAUUUGUCUGCACUCAAGGGUGAAUAAUUUAAAAGAUUGAAAAGGUACACAAUAAACUGUUUUAUACUUUCCUCUUUUCAUACCUUCCUUCCGUCUAUCCUUUAUUCCUAAAUUCCUUUCCCCCUUCUCUUUAGUCACUGUUUUAUUCUUUUGAAAUUUCUUGCUUUUAUUUUAGACAUCUCCUUUCCUUCCCUUUUCCCUCUGUCACUGCUUCUCCCUGAUUCUAUACAUGUCUUUUAUUCUUCCCUUCUGUCUCUGUUUUUUCCACUGUCUUAUUUCCUCUCCUUUUUGUGUGUCUUCCUCUAUUCUUGUUUCCGCUUAGCCCCUUUCUCUCACUCUCUCUCUUUUAAUACACCAGGGAAUCCCUAAGUCUUCCCCAAACAUGUAAAACAUCCUCUCUGCAGUCUACUCCCUCCCCCUCCCUCCAUCACAGUCUCCUGUUUUUCCUCCUCCUCUUUUGAUGAUCUGCAUUGCAGUACCUACCUUCCUUCCUCUAUUCGAUCAGCAGCAGGUUGACGCUUCUUUCCUUUGUCACUGGUGCUUUGGCGCCCUCCACUGAGCAUCAGCUGGAACUACAGAAGCUGAUCAUAGGUCAGCUGAUCGUAUACUGUAGUUUGAGAACCGUUGUUCCAGUAAAGUCUGAAAAAAGUUACGGAGACCUCAGAUAAGUUGCUCCUCUGGUGGGCAAAAAUUGUAACUGCAACUGGCUGGGUAAUAUAUUUUUAAACGGGCAACGAUAGUUCACUCCCCUCUUUCUUCCCUCCUGUUCCAAGCCCCGCCCACAUCCAAACUUUCUAUCUCAGGUGUCAUAGCAACAGGUGAAGUCUCCCAUCUGAUUGGCUGCCAGCCCUGGACUCAGCAUCAGUCAGAAGUGCUGAGCGGAGUCUGUUUUUUGUUGUUUUAAACCCAGCACCACCUCCUCCCGGGCCCUUUCCCUCUUUAUGUCUUUCUGUUGUUCAGCUGGUUUGUGUUUGUGUACCGACUGAAGCUUCUAGCCUGAGGGGAAAAAGAAAAACUGCAGCGUUGGACCAUAUAUGUGCCUCUGCGCUGACGCCAGGGGCAGAAGCUAACAAAUGUGCGGGGUGAAUUGGUUUCCUAAGGGGACGCUCCUGAGAAGCUGGCUGACCAAGUCGCGUCCGCGGUUACUGCUGCUGAUCGCAGGGUUGAAGAAGCCUCAGGUGACGCUAAUGAGGAGGAAGAGGAUGAAACGCACCAAAGUAGCAAAGGCCACGUAAGCGCACCUGCAAUCGAAUGCCUCACUUCACCUGAGCCCUGGAUGGAGACGACUUCCUGGGUGAGAAUGGCCGCCACAGACGAGGAGGUGAAGCCUCAGGUCAAACGAACUCAAUGUCAGGAACAGCAUGAAAAAGUGACACAGGAGGACAAACCACAGAAACCAAGGCCUCCAGACUGAGGAGGAUUCAAACCUGACUCACUUUUUCACUUCAGUAAUGGACUCGUCAGAAAAAUCCAGGGGGCGCUCAUUCAUUCGCUCACAUUUUCUUAGGUUUCCAAAAGAAAAUUCAACUGCUAAUUAAACUCUGUGAUGUUA